AUUGAACGCUAGCGGGAUGCCUUACACAUGCAAGUCGAACGGAGUGGCGAACGGGUUAGUAAUGUUUCGUAACGUGCCCAGUAGCGGGGGAUAACUACGCGAAAGCGUAGCUAAUACCGCAUACUAUUGUAACCGCCGAUCUCGGAUUAGCUAGUUGGUGGGGUAACGGCUCCCCAAGGGGACGAUCCGUAGCUGGUUUGUGAGGACGACCAGCCACACUGGGAGUGAGACACGGCCCAGACUCCUACGGGAGGCAGGAGUGGGGAGUUUUGGACAAGGGGGGAAACCCUGAUCCAGCCAUCCCGCGUGUGCGAAGAAGGCCUUCGGGUUGUAAAGCACUUUUGGCAGGAAAGCGGUAUCUAACCAGAAAGCCACGGCUAACUACGUGCCAGCAGCCGCGGUAAUAC
rnacentral:rRNA from 1 species